rnacentral:rRNA from 1 species
UAGUCCACGCCGUAAACGAUGUCAACUAGCCGUUGGGAGGGUUAAACCUCAAAGUGGCGCAGCUAACGCGAUAAGUUGACCGCCUGGGGAGUACGCGCGCAAGCGUAAAACUCAAAGGAAUUGACAGGGGCCCGCACAAGCGGUGGAGCAUGUGGUUUAAUUCGAUGCAACGCGAAGAACCUUACCUGGCCUUGACAUCCUGAGAACUUUCUAGAGAUAGAUUGGUGCCUUCGGGAACUCAGUGACAGGUGCUGCAUGGCUGUCGUCAGCUCGUGUCGUGAGAUGUUGGGUUGAGUCCCGCAACGAGCGCAACCCUUGUCUUUAGUUGCCAUCAUUAAGUUGGGCACUUUAAAGAGACUGCCGGUGACAAACCGGAGGAAGGUAAGGAUGACGUCAAGUCAGCAUGCCCCUUAUGCUCUGGGCUACACACGUGCUACAAUGGCCGUGACAAAGAGUUGCUACUUUGUGAAAACAAGCUAAUCUCAUAAACGCGGCCUCAGUUC